UGUAUAAGUUAUAAAGUCUAGCCUGCCCACUGAUUGAUUUAAAGGGCCGCGGUAAUUUGACCGUGCGAAGGUAGCAUAGUCAGUAGUCUUUUAAUUGAAGGCUUGAAUGAAAGGUUGGACGAGGGAUGAGCUGUCUCCUUUAUGUAAUUUGAAUUUAACUUUUGAGUGAAAAGGCUCAAAUUAUUUAGUGGGACGAUAAGACCCUAUAAAACUUUAUAUAAGUUUAAUUUGGCUUACAAUUUGUGUGAAAAGUAGCUUUAUUAGGCUUAUAUUUCGUUGGGGAGAUGUAGAUAUAAUGUGUAACUGUCUAUUUAAUUUAAUAAUUAUAAUUAGUGUGUGAUCCUUCUUUGUGGAUUAAAAGUAUAAGUUACUUUAGGGAUAACAGCGUGAUUUUCUUUGAGAGUUCUUAUCGACAAGAGUA
rnacentral:rRNA from 1 species